CAGAACCCUCCAAGCAGACACAAUGGUAAGAAUGGUGUCUGUCCUGCUGUCUCUGCUGCUGCUUCUGGGUCCUGCUGUCCCCCAGGAGACCCAAGAUGGUCGUUACUCUCUGACCUAUAUCUACACUGGGCUGUCCAAGCUUGUUGAAGAUGUCCCCGCGUUUCAGGCCCUUGGCUCACUCAAUGACCUCCAGUUCUUUAGAUACAACAGUAGAGACAGGAAGUCUCAGCCCGUGGGACUCUGGAGACAGGUGGAAGGAAUGGAGGAUUGGAAGCAGGACAGCCAACUUCAGAAGGCCAGGGAGGACAUCUUUAUGGAGACCCUGAAGGACAUCGUGGAGUAUUACAACGCCAGUAACGGUCAGUGAACAACAGACCACAGGGGCGGAGGGUCUAACCCAAGAGGCAGCCCCCCAGGUGUGAGUGGCAAGGGGUCAGCAGGAUGGAAAUAGUCCCAAUACCGCGAAGGAACAGGAGACACAGCAGAAACACAGACAUGUCUGCAUCCCGCCCACCCCACAGCACAGAGCUCCCCACUU
rnacentral:sRNA from 1 species